rnacentral:rRNA from 1 species
AACGAACGCUGGCGGCAUGCCUAACACAUGCAAGUCGAACGAGACCUUCGGGUCUAGUGGCGCACGGGUGCGUAACGCGUGGGAACCUGCCCUUAGGUUCGGAAUAACUCCCCGAAAGGGGUGCUAAUACCGGAUAAUGUCUUCGGACCAAAGAUUUAUCGCCUUUGGAUGGGCCCGCGUUGGAUUAGCUAGUUGGUAGGGUAAAAGCCUACCAAGGCGACGAUUCAUAGCUGGUCUGAGAGGAUGAUCAGCCACACUGGGACGGGGACACGGCCCAGACUCCUCCGGGAGGCAGCAGUGGGUAAUGUUGGACCGUGGGCGGAGGCCUGAUCCAGCAAUGCCGCGUGAGUGAUGAAGGCCUUAGGGUUGUAAAGCUCUUUUACCCGGGAUGAUAAUGACGGUACCGGGAGAAUAAGCUCCGGCUAACUCCGUG